AGAGUUUGAUCCUGGCUCAGGAUGAACGCUAGCUACAGGCUUAACACAUGCAAGUCGAGGGGCAGCAUGGUCUUAGCUUGCUAAGGCCGAUGGCGACCGGCGCACGGGUGAGUAACACGUAUCCAACCUGCCGUCUACUCUUGGACAGCCUUCUGAAAGGAAGAUUAAUACAAGAUGGCAUCAUGAGUCCGCAUGUUCACAUGAUUAAAGGUAUUCCGGUAGACGAUGGGGAUGCGUUCCAUUAGAUAGUAGGCGGGGUAACGGCCCACCUAGUCUUCGAUGGAUAGGGGUUCUGAGAGGAAGGUCCCCCACAUUGGAACUGAGACACGGUCCAAACUCCUACGGGAGGCAGCAGUGAGGAAUAUUGGUCAAUGGGCGAGAGCCUGAACCAGCCAAGUAGCGUGAAGGAUGACUGCCCUAUGGGUUGUAAACUUCUUUUAUAAAGGAAUAAAGUCGGGUAUGGAUACCCGUUUGCAUGUACUUUAUGAAUAAGGAUCGGCUAACUCCGUGCCAGCAGCCGCGGUAAUACGGAGGAUCCGAGCGUUAUCCGGAUUUAUUGGGUUUAAAGGGAGCGUAGAUGGAUGUUUAAGUCAGUUGUGAAAGUUUGCGGCUCAACCGUAAAAUUGCAGUUGAUACUGGAUAUCUUGAGUGCAGUUGAGGCAGGCGGAAUUCGUGGUGUAGCGGUGAAAUGCUUAGAUAUCACGAAGAACUCCGAUUGCGAAGGCAGCCUGCUAAGCUGCAACUGACAUUGAGGCUCGAAAGUGUGGGUAUCAAACAGGAUUAGAUACCCUGGUAGUCCACACGGUAAACGAUGAAUACUCGCUGUUUGCGAUAUACUGCAAGCGGCCAAGCGAAAGCGUUAAGUAUUCCACCUGGGGAGUACGCCGGCAACGGUGAAACUCAAAGGAAUUGACGGGGGCCCGCACAAGCGGAGGAACAUGUGGUUUAAUUCGAUGAUACGCGAGGAACCUUACCCGGGCUUAAAUUGCAGAUGAAUUACGGUGAAAGCCGUAAGCCGCAAGGCAUCUGUGAAGGUGCUGCAUGGUUGUCGUCAGCUCGUGCCGUGAGGUGUCGGCUUAAGUGCCAUAACGAGCGCAACCCUUGUUGUCAGUUACUAACAGGUUCCGCUGAGGACUCUGACAAGACUGCCAUCGUAAGAUGUGAGGAAGGUGGGGAUGACGUCAAAUCAGCACGGCCCUUACGUCCGGGGCUACACACGUGUUACAAUGGGGGGUACAGAGGGCCGCUACCACGCGAGUGGAUGCCAAUCCCCAAAACCUCUCUCAGUUCGGACUGGAGUCUGCAACCCGACUCCACGAAGCUGGAUUCGCUAGUAAUCGCGCAUCAGCCACGGCGCGGUGAAUACGUUCCCGGGCCUUGCACACACCGCCCGUCA
rnacentral:rRNA from 1 species